AGCAGCCGCGGUAAUUCCAGCUCCAAUAGCGUAUAUUAAAGUUGUUGCAGUUAAAAAGCUCGUAGUUGAAUUUCGGGAUCAAUGCGUCGGUCGUGCCUUCGGUACGUACUAGCGUCAUUGAUUCCUCCCUUCUGAAGAACCGUGAUGUCAUUAAUUUGGUGUUACGGGGAAUCAGGACUGUUACCUUGAAAAAAUUAGAGUGUUUAAAGCAGGCUAACGCUUGAAUACAUUAGCAUGGAAUAAUGAAAUAGGACGUUCGAACCUAUUUUGUUGGUUUCUAGGAUCGACGUAAUGAUUAAUAGGGAUAGUUGGGGGCAUUAGUAUUCAAUUGUCAGAGGUGAAAUUCUUGGAUUUAUUGAAGACUAACUACUGCGAAAGCAUUUGCCAAGGAUGUUUUCAUUAAUCAAGAACGAAAGUUAGGGGAUCGAAGACGAUCAGAUACCGUCGUAGUCUUAACCAUAAACUAUGCCGACUAGGGAUCGGAUGAUGUUAAUUUUUUAAUGACUCA
rnacentral:rRNA from 1 species